CCAAUAUCUAUGUGAAGAACUGCAUCUACGACCUGUGUGCCAAUGAGGGGCAUCACACUGUGCUGUGCCAUACCUUCGAGAUCUAUGCUGAUAACUGCCAGGAGGAGGGAUCAAUGUUUCCAAUUGGAGGACAACAGUGGGAUGUCAUGAAUAGAGGAUGGUUGGGUGAAAAUACUCCUUGGGGUGGGCAGAGCCUAAUUAAUGUGGGACUAAAGAUCCAGGGACUCAUGGCUUGGGAAAGGUUACGGCAGCAGAUCCAAGCAGGAAAUCCUUGGAAAUCCAGGGAGAUUCUAGAAAGUCCAUGUAGAAAGUCCACAAAGUCCAUGGAGUCUCUAGAAAGUCUGAGCAGGAAACCCAGGAAGUCUGCAGAGACUCCAGAAAGUCCAGGCAGAGUGUCCAGGAAGUCCAUAGAGACUUCAAAAAAUCAAUGGAGACUCCUUAAAAUCCAUGGAGACUCCAGGGUAAUACAGAUAGUCAAAGAUGUCUGUCCCACUAUGUGCCGCCUCACCCUGACUGCUCUCUCCCUCCCUGUCCAGCUCUCACUUGCCUGCCCAACAGCACCCACAGCCUGCCUCCCUACCUGCAACAUCCCCACUGUGUCAUCCCGCUGUUCCACUGUCAACACCUGCGUGGACACCUGUGUGGCCUUGAUGCCAACACCUGCGCUGCCCCCUCUGAAUGUGGCUGUGUCCUUCAAGGUCUCUUCUAUGGCCUUGGCGAGGAAUUUUGGAGUGACCUCACUUGCACCCAGCACUCUGCGUGUGAUGCGGAGCGGCGGCAGGCAGUGUGCCAGGAUUCUGGUUGUACCACUAAGGAGGAAUGCGAGGUGGAGUAGGGGAUCUAGGAUUGUUAUCCCAAAAUUUCUGCGGUCUGCACCACUGUUGGAGCCACUCACUAUGAGACCUUUAAUCAAAGGAGGUGUAUCUUCCAGGGGAUGUGUGUCUUACCUGCUGGUUGGGUUGUGUGAGGACACCCAAAAUUUGGUGGGAUUCCAGGUGUUGGUGCAGAAUGGCCACCAAAGUGACAACCUCACAUUGUCCAUUGCCGUGGUGACAGUUAAAAGUCUACAACAAAACCAUCAGCAUCAGCAGGAACAUCGUGGAAAAAUCAUGACUAAUGAGAGUUGUUUGCGGCGGUUUGGCAGAAGCUGCUGAGGCCACCGCCUUCCCAAGAGUGUCUAAUCUAGGAAGGCAUAUCCCAGUGAGAACCAGAUGUGAGCACCACCCAGUUCACGUCACCAGAUGGUAUGUUGCAGGUCAGUGGAAAAAGCAGGCAGCAGGGGUUUUUUGUAUAGCGUUCCAGUGAUAGUUUAUCGCACCUACACACUGAAGAGUCCAGGGAUAAAGUACAAAGGAGGAUCCAGGGUUUUAUAUGGGACAAGGGAGGUAGAGCAUCAGGUCUGAGGGCCAAUGGGUAGAGGGACCAGAGGUGAUGCAAAGGUGGUGUUACAGGGGAAAAACCAACAGUGGAUUCAGGGGAGGAACAGUAAGGAAUGGGCACUAAAGGGAUAAAUGGGAAUGAGGAACAUUCUGGAACUGGGGAGUAUUGCCAGCUGGGGGACUGUGUACAAAUCACGAACGAGACGGGACUGCCGAGGAACGUGUCUCGAGCUGUUUAUUUUCCAGCAUCAGUCUCAUUACAUGGUUAUGACAAUGGGAAGAUGCCAGCAGCUCACAUCCCAGGCAGCAGACAAAGAACUUAAUGUUACAACUUAUUUUAAAAGCUUUUUGACCAAUCACACAAAGCAAAAGCAUAUUGACAGUAGUUCUAUCCAGCCACUAUAAGCACAAGUACCUUUGGUUAGAACAAUGCUCACUUAUUUAGAAUAAAAUACCUGCUUGUAAGCCUUAAGAUACA
ensembl:lncRNA